UGCUCCACACACUUUAAGACCCUCAGCACUGAUCAGUGACUGUCCAGUCCUUUCACAGCCACUGACACAGGCAGCAUUAUGAUGAUGUCAGUCUAUCUACUGCUGGUGAUGCUUGGACUCCUUGCACAGGGAUCAAAGGCAGAUAAAGUUCUGACUCAGGAUCCAGCAGCUCAGUCUUUUCAGCAGGGAGACACUGUCUCUCUCAGCUGUACAGCCAGUGAGAGUGUGAGCGACUACCUUUACUGGUACCUGCAGAAACCUGGUCAGGCUCCUAAACUUCUGAUUUAUCGGGCCACAACUCGACAGUCUGGGAUUCCUGAUCGUUUCAGUGGGAGUGGAUCUGGGACUCAGUUCACACUGAAAAUCACUGGAGUCCAGGCUGAGGAUGCAGGAGAUUAUUACUGUCAGCACGGCUAUAGGCCGUUCACACAGUGUUAGAGAGCCGUACAAAAACCUCCCUCAGUCAGACUGCACAGAGACUGCACUGCUGCAGCUGGGACCUACUGCAGGUGCUGAGGGGGGAGGCACUGGUCUGUGACCUAGAGGGGCUCUGCUCAAAUUCUGAGCAGAUUUGUGCAUUAAUAACUGUCAUAAUCUAAUAUUUUAUACAAUUGCUUUAAAUGCUAAUGUGAGCAGAUCAAAUACCUUCCUCUUAAAAUCCAUUUUAAUUUAUAUAAGCAUAAACCUUUCAUUAACAGAAUACACUUGAGAUAAUGGAGCUUAUACGCUUGAGAUAUCGGUACUUUGUAAACACAAGGACAACAUGCACAGAUUUAAGAAUAGACUGGAGUGUUGAAUUGCUAUUAAAUUACAUUUACUGGACCAGA